GCUUGUCUCAAAGAUUAAGCCAUGCAUGUCUAAGUAUAAAUGUUAUACAGUGAAACUGCGAAUGGCUCAUUAAAACAGUUAUAGUUUAUUUGAUAAUCGAAUCUACAUGGAUAACCGUGGUAAUUCUAGAGCUAAUACAUGCUGGUUAGCCUGACUUCGCGGAAGGGCUGUAUUUAUUAGAUAACAAACCAAUAUUCCUUGUGUCUAUUGUGAUGACUCAUAAUAACUGAUCGAAUCUCAAAUUUGAGAUAAAUCAUUCAAGUUUCUGCCCUAUCAGCUUUCGAUGGUAGUGUAUUGGACUACCAUGGCAGUAACGGGUAACGAAGAAUUAGGGUUCGAUUUCGGAGAGGGAGCAUGAGAAACGGCUACCACAUCUAAGGAAGGCAGCAGG
rnacentral:rRNA from 1 species